AAAUUGAAGAGUUUGAUCAUGGCUCAGAUUGAACGCUGGCGGCAGGCCUAACACAUGCAAGUCGAACGGUAACAGGAAGCAGCUUGCUGCUUCGCUGACGAGUGGCGGACGGGUGAGUAAUGUCUGGGAAACUGCCUGAUGGAGGGGGAUAACUACUGGAAACGGUAGCUAAUACCGCAUAAC
rnacentral:rRNA from 1 species